UAGGGAAUCUUCCGCAAUGGACGCAAGUCUGACGGAGCAACGCCGCGUGAGUGAAGAAGGAUUUCGGUUCGUAAAACUCUGUUGUUAGAGAAGAACAGCGCAUCGAGUAACUGUUAUGCGUGUGACGGUAUCUAACCAGAAAGCCACGGCUAACUACGUGCCAGCAGCCGCGGUAAUACGUAGGUGGCAAGCGUUGUCCGGAUUUAUUGGGCGUAAAGCGAGCGCAGGCGGUCAAUUAAGUCUGAUGUGAAAGCCCCCGGCUCAACCGGGGAGGGUCAUUGGAAACUGGUUGACUUGAGUGCAGAAGAGGAGAGUGGAAGUCCAUGUGUAGCGGUGAAAUGCGUAGAUAUAUGGAGGAACACCAGUGGCGAAGGCGACUCUCUGGUCUGUAACUGACGCUGAGGCUCGAAAGCGUGGGUAGCAAACAGG
rnacentral:rRNA from 1 species